GACGAACGCUGGCGGCGUGCUUAACACAUGCAAGUCGAACGGAAAGGCCCUGCUUUUGUGGGGUGCUCGAGUGGCGAACGGGUGAGUAACACGUGAGUAACCUGCCCUUGACUUUGGGAUAACUUCAGGAAACUGGGGCUAAUACCGGAUAGGAGCUCCUGCUGCAUGGUGGGGGUUGGAAAGUUUCGGCGGUUGGGGAUGGACUGGCGGCUUAUCAGCUUGUUGGUGGGGGAGUGGCUGACCAAGGCUUUGACGGGUAGCCGGCCGGAGAGGGUGAACGGGGUCCUGGGUACUGCGAGAGGCAGCAGACGGGAACGGGGGGCAGUAGUCGGGAGUCUGAUACAGUGGGCGGGAGCGUGAGGCAGCGACGUUGGGUGCGUGAUGCCGGUUUUCGGGGUGUAAAAAGCUUUAGCCUGUGACGAAGCGGGAGUGACGGUAAUGGGUAAAGAAGCACCGGCUAACUACGUG
rnacentral:rRNA from 1 species